CCUACGGGAGGCAGCAGUGGGGAAUAUUGCGCAAUGGGCGGAAGCCUGACGCAGCGACGCCGCGUGGGGGAUGACGGCCUUCGGGUUGUAAACCUCUUUCAGCAGGGACGAAGCCGUGAGGUGACGGUACCUGCAGAAGAAGCACCGGCCAACUACGUGCCAGCAGCCGCGGUAAUACGUAGGGUGCAAGCGUUGUCCGGAAUUAUUGGGCGUAAAGAGCUCGUAGGCGGUUUGUUGCGUCGGCUGUGAAAACCUGAGGCUCAACCUCAGGCCUGCAGUCGAUACGAGCAAACUAGAGUGUUGCAGGGGAGACCGGAAUUCCUGGUGUAGCGGUGAAAUGCGCAGAUAUCAGGAGGAACACCGGUGGCGAAGGCGGGUCUCUGGGCAACAACUGACGCUGAGGAGCGAAAGCGUGGGGAGCGAACAGGAUUAGAUACCCUGGUAGUCCACGCCGUAAACGUUGGGCGCUAGGUGUGGGGCUCAUUCCACGAGUUCCGUGCCGCAGCUAACGCAUUAAGCGCCCCGCCUGGGGAGUACGGCCGCAAGGCUAAAACUCAAAGGAAUUGACGGGGGCCCGCACAAGCGGCGGAGCAUGUUGCUUAAUUCGAUGCAACGCGAAGAACCUUAC
rnacentral:rRNA from 1 species